AAGCCUGUCUCAUUCGGAUUGGAGUCUGNAACCCGACUCCAUGAAGCUGGAUUCGCUAGUAAUCGCGCAUCAGCCAUGGCGCGGUGAAUACGUUCCCGGGCCUUGUACACACCGCCCGUCAAGCCAUGAAANCCGGGGGCGCCUGAAGUCCGUGACCGCGAGGGUCGGCCUAGGGUGAAACCGGUGAUUGGGGCUAAGUCGUAACAAGGUAGC
rnacentral:rRNA from 1 species